UCCUUGGUAGCUUGGACAGUAAAGCGUCUGCCUACAAUGUGGGAGACCCAGGUUCAAUCCCUGGGUCAGGAA
rnacentral:tRNA from 1 species